CUAGCGGCAGGCUUAACACAUGCAAGUCGAGGGGUAGCAGGGAGCUUGCUCCGCUGACGACCGGCGAACGGGCGCGUAACGCGUAUAGAAUCUACCUCUUACUAAGGGAUAGCCCAGAGAAAUUUGGAUUAAUAUCUUAUAGUAUGUUAACUUGGCAUCAAGAUAACAUUAAAGGUUACGGUAAGAGAUGACUAUGCGUCCUAUUAGCUAGAUGGUGUGGUAACGGCACACCAUGGCAACGAUAGGUAGGGGCCCUGAGAGGGGGAUCCCCCACACUGGUACUGAGACACGGACCAGACUCCUACGGGAGGCAGCAGUGAGGAAUAUUGGACAAUGGAGGCAACUCUGAUCCAGCCAUGCCGCGUGCAGGAAGACUGCCCUAUGGGUUGUAAACUGCUUUUAUACAGGAAGAAACACUCUCACGUGUGAGAGCUUGACGGUACUGUAAGAAUAAGGAUCGGCUAACUCCGUGCCAGCAGCCGCGGUAAUACGGAGGAUCCAAGCGUUAUCCGGAAUCAUUGGGUUUAAAGGGUCCGUAGGUGGAUAAUUAAGUCAGAGGUGAAAUCCUGCAGCUCAACUGUAGAAUUGCCUUUGAUACUGGUUGUCUUGAGUUAUUAUGAAGUAGUUAGAAUAUGUAGUGUAGCGGUGAAAUGCAUAGAUAUUACAUAGAAUACCAAUUGCGAAGGCAGAUUACUAAUAAUAUACUGACCCUGAUGGACGAAAGCGUGGGGAGCGAACAGGAUUAGAUACCCUGGUAGUCCACGCCGUAAACGAUGGUCACUAGCUGUUCGAACUUCGGUUUGAGUGGCUAAGCGAAAGUGAUAAGUGACCCACCUGGGGAGUACGUUCGCAAGAAUGAAACUCAAAGGAAUUGACGGGGGCCCGCACAAGCGGUGGAGCAUGUGGUUUAAUUCGAUGAUACGCGAGGAACCUUACCAGGGCUUAAAUGUAAAUUGACAGGUUUAGAGAUAGACUUUUCUUCGGACAAUUUACAAGGUGCUGCAUGGUUGUCGUCAGCUCGUGCCGUGAGGUGUCAGGUUAAGUCCUAUAACGAGCGCAACCCCUGUUGUUAGUUGCCAGCGAGUAAUGUCGGGAACUCUAGCAAGACUGCCAGUGCAAACUGUG
rnacentral:rRNA from 1 species